AUUGAACGCUGGCGGCAUGCCUUACACAUGCAAGUCGAACGGUAACAGGUCUUCGGAUGCCGACGAGUGGCGAACGGGUGAGUAAUGCAUCGGAACGUACCUUUCAGUGGGGGAUAACGUAGCGAAAGUUACGCUAAUACCGCAUAUUCUGUGAGCAGGAAAGCAGGGGAUCGCAAGACCUUGCGCUGAUUGAGCGGCCGAUGUCAGAUUAGCUAGUUGGUGAGGUAAAGGCUCACCAAGGCGACGAUCUGUAGCGGGUCUGAGAGGAUGAUCCGCCACACUGGGACUGAGACACGGCCCAGACUCCUACGGGAGGCAGCAGUGGGGAAUUUUGGACAAUGGGCGAAAGCCUGAUCCAGCCAUGCCGCGUGCAGGAAGAAGGCCUUCGGGUUGUAAACUGCUUUAGUCUAGGAAAAAGGGGUGCGAGGUUAAUACCCUCGUGCUUUGAUGGUACUGGAAGAAUAAGCACCGGCUAACUACGUG
rnacentral:rRNA from 1 species